rnacentral:lncRNA from 13 species
GCAAAAUGGCAGAGGCUGGUUUUCCUAGUAAGCCAAGGAUGGGAAAAGUAUGCACCUGUGUCGUAGGUCAUACUUUCAAUUCUGAUAAGGACUUGGUAAGACAACUCACUGGCCGAGGAGACUGUACUGAAGUGUCACUAGCGGAGAGUGAUGUCAUCAUAAUGAUCUGUCCUAUGGUCAGUGACUUUGGAACUCUGGACCUUGAUAUACAACUGGAGGUGGUCUCAGAAUACCUAGCUGGUAGACCUGUUGUUCUGGUGGUGCUGCAUGACACUUUCGACCCAGACUCCACUAUACCUGACAGCAGCAGACUAGUGACCAGGGGUGAGGUAAUACUCACAGUGGACUGUCUAUUUAAUCACAGAGGACUGCUGGACUGUCCUCGCAAUAAAGAAGCAGUCGAUAUGAUUCUGAAGAGGCUAAACGUACAACCAAAGCAGGAACUCACAGAAGGUAAGCCAAGGAUGGGAAAAGUAUGCACCUGUGUCGUAGGUCAUACGUUCAAUUCUGAUAAGGACUUGGUAAGACAACUCACUGGCCGAGGAGACUGUACUGAAGUGUCACUAGCGGAGAGUGAUGUCAUCAUAAUGAUCUGUCCUAUGGUCAGUGACUUUGGAACUCUGGACCUUGAUAUACAACUGGAGGUGGUCUCAGAAUACCUAGCUGGUAGACCUGUUGUUCUGGUGGUGCUGCAUGACACUUUCGACCCAGACUCCACUAUACCUGACAGCAGCAGACUAGUGACCAGGGGUGAGGUAAUACUCACAGUGGACUGUCUAUUUAAUCACAGAGGACUGGUGGACUGUCCUCGCAAUAAAGAAGCAGUCGAUAUGAUUUUGAAGAGGCUAAACGUACAACCAAAGAUAUAG